rnacentral:tRNA from 1 species
GCGCUUGUAGCUCAGGGGAUAGAGCGAAAGGUUGCGGACCUUUAGGUCGGGGGUUCGAAUCCCUCCAAGCGCGCCA